rnacentral:rRNA from 1 species
UACAGAGGUCCCAAGCGUUGUUCGGAUUCAUUGGGCGUAAAGGGUGCGUAGGUGGCGCCGUAAGUCGGGUGUGAAAUUUCGGAGCUUAACUCCGAAACUGCAUUCGAUACUGCGGUGCUUGAGGACUGGAGAGGAGACUGGAAUUCAUGGUGUAGCAGUGAAAUGCGUAGAGAUCAUGAGGAAGACCAGUGGCGAAGGCGGGUCUCUGGACAGUUCCUGACACUGAGGCACGAAGGCCAGGGGAGCAGACGGG